rnacentral:rRNA from 1 species
UACGGGGGGGGCAAGCGUUGUUCGGAAUUACUGGGCGUAAAGGGUUUGUAGGUGGCUUGCUAAGUCAGACGUGAAAUCCCUCAGCUUAACUGGGGAACUGCGUCUGAGACUGGCAAGCUCGAGUGCAGGAGAGGAACGCGGAGUUCCAGGUGUAGCGGUGAAAUGCGUAGAUAUCUGGAGGAACACCGGUGGCGAAGGCGGCGUUCUGGACUGCAACUGACACUGAAAAACGAAAGCCAGGGGAGCAAACGGG